rnacentral:rRNA from 1 species
AUUGAACGCUGGCGGCAGGCUUAACACAUGCAAGUCGAGCGGGGUGAGGUGCUUCGGUACUGAUCCUAGCGGCGGACGGGUGAGUAAUGCUUAGGAAUCUGCCUAUUAGUGGGGGACAACAUUCCGAAAGGAAUGCUAAUACCGCAUACGCCCUACGGGGGAAAGCAGGGGAUCUUCGGACCUUGCGCUAAUAGAUGAGCCUAAGUCGGAUUAGCUAGUUGGUGGGGUAAAGGCCUACCAAGGCGACGAUCUGUAGCGGGUCUGAGAGGAUGAUCCGCCACACUGGGACUGAGACACGGCCCAGACUCCUACGGGAGGAAGCAGUGGGGAAUAUUGGACAAUGGGGGGAACCCUGAUCCAGCCAUGCCGCGUGUGUGAAGAAGGCCUUUUGGUUGUAAAGCACUUUAAGCGGGGAGGAGGCUCUUGAGGAUAAUACCCUUGAAGAGUGGACGUUACCCGCAGAAUAAGCACCGGCUAACUCUGUGCCAGCCGCCGCGGUAAGAC